rnacentral:tRNA from 1 species
UGGGAUAGCUCAGUUGGUAGAGCAUGAGACUCUUAAUCUCAAGGGUCAUGAGUUCGAGCCCCACGUUGCACAA